CGCUAAUGCUCGAAAGUGCGGGUAUCGAACAGGAUUAGAUACCCCUGGUAGUCCGCACGGUAAAACGAUGGAUGCCCCGCUGUUGGCGAUACAGUGUCAGCGGCCAAGCGAAAGCGUUAAGCAUCCCACCUGGGGAGUACGCCGGCAACGGUGAAACUCAAAGGAAUUGACGGGGGCCCGCACAAGCGGAGGAACAUGUGGUUUAAUUCGAUGAUACGCGAGGAACCUUACCCGGGCUUGAACUGCAGGAGAACGAUUCAGAGAUGAUGAGGUCCUUCGGGACUCCUGUGGAGGUGCUGCAUGGUUGUCGUCAGCUCGUGCCGUGAGGUGUCGGCUUAAGUGCCAUAACGAGCGCAACCCCUUUCUUCAGUUGCCAUCAGGUUAUGCUGGGCACUCUGGAGACACUGCCACCGUAAGGUGUGAGGAAGGUGGGGAUGACGUCAAAUCAGCACGGCCCUUACGUCCGGGGCUACACACGUGUUACAAUGGGUGGUACAGAGAGCGGGCUGCCUGCAAAGUCAGCCGAAUCAUGAAAGCCAUCCUCAGUUCGGAUUGGGGUCUGCAACCCGACCCCAUGAAGCUGGAUUCGCUAGUAAUCGC
rnacentral:rRNA from 1 species